UAAGAAAUAUUGGUCAAUGGACGAAAGUCUGAACCAGCCAUGCCGCGUGGAGGAUGAAGGCCCUCUGGGUUGUAAACUUCUUUUAUAGGGGACGGAAAAGGGUCUUUCUAGAUCAACUGACGGUACCAUGUGAAUAAGCACCGGCUAACUCCGUGCCAGCAGCCGCGGUAAUACGGAGGGUGCAAGCGUUAUCCGGAUUCACUGGGUUUAAAGGGUGCGUAGGUGGGUUGGUAAGUCAGUGGUGAAAUCUCCGAGCUUAACUUGGAAACUGCCAUUGAUACUAUCAAUCUUGAAUAUUGUGGAGGUUAGCGGAAUAUGUCAUGUAGCGGUGAAAUGCUUAGAUAUGACAUAGAACACCAAUUGCGAAGGCAGCUGGCUACGCAUAUAUUGACACUGAGGCACGAAAGCGUGGGGAUCAAACA
rnacentral:rRNA from 1 species